GGCUGUCUCUCUCUCUGUCAAAUAAAUAAAUAAAGUCUUAAAAAAAAAAAGAAGUCUUUCUUCCAUCAGAUGGGAGUAAGUGGCCUUGACAAGGGCUGGAAAAUCUUUUAAGGCCGGCUUACCUACAAGGCCAGCUUGUCCCCUAGGUUUACAGAAGGACAGUUACUUUGCCUUACUCUUUCAGUUGGUAGCCCCUAUGACUUGAAUAGUUGGCUUGUUAAGGUCCUUUUCAGAAUGUGGUGUCAUUAUUAUAAUUUCAAAAUCUCUCAGGUCCUUUGUGGAACACAGAGCAGCCACAUUCCUCGCCCUAAAGGACGUCCUAAAACUUGGCAUGUUUGACCAUGACUGUGCUGAACAGAAGAGGGCCAGACCUGUGUGUUUACCUGCUUCCCUAUCUGUCUCAACCUCAAUUAAGGAAAAAAGUUGAGUGGCUUGUGAGUUCCGGGUUGAGGCAAGAGGCAGCAGGAAGAAGUUAAUGCCUCAGGGAUCUUGUCUGGGCCAUACGGCAUGUUUUGGGAAGAAGGAGCAAAGAGAGAGAAUGCUAGAACCGGUCACAAUCCUUGAAAGGCAAAAUGAAACGAUUCUGAAUCUUUGUACUCUUCAGAGAUGUUGUAUGCGUCAUCAAUGAAUCCCCAAAAGCAAAGGGCGAACUUUGGGGGAAGGGCUGCCACCUGCUUCCAUUUUGCAUCAAAUGCCUGGGGACGCUAUUUUGUUUCUAGCCUGAUCUGGUGUAGUAUCCACUAGGAUAUUUGUGCCGGCGUCUUUGGAGUAAUUAUUCUUAUUGUUUCACUAACACUUCAUCAGCUUGAGCCUCCAAGCCCAUCGGCCAAAUCUGGGAAGGGAAUGAGUCAAACGGCAUGUUCUCACCUCCUGACAGCGUCAGACUGAUACCACGUUUCUUUUUACACCAAAACAAGCUUUGAUGUGGGUUUCUGCCACUUGAAUAAAUUAUAUGUGUACAAACGUGUAAAAGUAGGGACUAACAUAAUAUGGCACCGUGUAUGAGAACCUUCAGUGAGAUGUUCGUGUUGAUCCUGGGUUUCAGGCUCUGUGGACUCCGUGAAGGUUAUUCUCUGGUCUUCUGAGACUAACUCAAAUAUUAAGAGACUGGAUGGGAUGACCUGUAGGUUCUUUCGAGCUAUAACUAAGCCUUGCUGAUUUUUCUCCUUGCUUCCUUUUUGGAAUGUAACUGCUAGUGAAAGUUUCCCUCUGCCUCAAAGCCACAUCAUGAAGAGAUGUUCGGUGGGAGAGGCGGGACCGCAAAGCAGGGAGACGAGGUGUUCAAGUAUGGGAUGGCUUGGAAAGCUGGCUAAAAGAUCAAUCACAUUGACCGUCAUCAGUUACGAGAAGAUUAGCUAUGUUUUUUGAAGUAAUCUGAUUGUAGAUUCUGGACCCUCCUCCUUAGAAGUGGGUUGUAAAGCAGAUUCCACUUACUGGAUGGGAGGGAGAUUGGGUGACAGAAAAUGGUUUUUGUCAACAUUAAUAAUUUGUCCCCCGUCUCUCUCUCAUGCAGCAUUGGAAAUACUUAGAUCAUUCAGUUAUUAAAACAUGCCAAGGAAAAUCUGUCGCCUGUGACAGAAAUCUCAUAGAUAUUUUUCUAGAGCUUUCCCACCCAUGACUCAACACUUCAUCAUGCAUGCGUAAUACCUCACCUCCUUUUGUGAAUUCUGUCAUAUCUACAACCUCGACAUCUGAUUGUUGACAUAGCCCCAGUUGAUGAAAAUGAACAAAAACAGAGUGUGUUAUGAAGGAAGAUGAGCUCUGCCGUGUACGGCCCUGUAAGAACUAAAACUUGCGGGAGUAUUAAGCCGUGAUUAUCAUUCAUGUAGUGUAUGACUUGAUAUUCAAAGGAAUUGGCACAUGCAUAUGUAUGCCUACAAUAGACUAAUUUGAGAAAAAUGUGGCCUAAUGAAAAAUGCAUGGACUGAGAGAGAGAAGAGCUGUUUUGAGCCUCACCCCUCACCCCCUUCCAGCUCUGUGACUCUGAGCACAUCACUUAACCUCUCUGGCUUCCACUUCUUUGCUGUUAAACUAAUUGUGGUUUUUUGGUCUGAGCAUGAAAUGAAUAACGUUUCUGAAUGAACUUUAUAAAUUAAAAAAAGUAUCCAAAUGUUAGUUUACUAAUUAAAGCUGAGACUGGAAAUAUUCAUUAAAAGUAAGAAAAUAAGAAUUAAAUUUCAAUUGUAACAAAUCAUACUGUCCAUUUAUAAUCUUUUAUCAAUCUACUUGAUGAUUAAUUAUUUUAGGGACUGGGAUGUGCCAGCUGUCCCUCGAGGGACACAUAGUGAACAAGACAGGUACAGUCAAGUGCUGAAUGAAACCGACAGCAAAUGAUACAGUCAGGACAAUUAGACAGUACAAAAUGGCAUACAGAGUGAAAGGGAGAACAAGGUACCCAGUUGGGUUGGGGCCGUAUGAGGUGGGGGCCCAGUCCCCCUGAAGAGAUGUCUCUGGGCCAAGUCUUGACCAGGGUCAUCUGGGCGAAUGAAGACCUGAGGGAGAACAUUCCAGGCCGAUGGAACAGCCUGUGCAAAGCACCUGGGGUAGGAUAUGGUCAGGCCUUGAAGCUGGGGUUUCCCCUUCUUGUUAUUUUAGACCUCUGUGUUUCCCUGUUUUCUACGGGGCUUUCAUCACAUCCUCCUCUGACGUGCGUCUGAUUCUAUGCUCUGGAGUAAGAGCAGCUUGAAGACGUCUGCUCCCCUGAUGUCUUCUUCAUUCUCUUCAGCCCUGAGCCCCCGGGAGCCCAGCAUCUUCUCCCAGGGGCCACCCUAUUCUCGCAGGCUGAAGAGGAGGCCCCUGCUCCCUGGGGAAGAGAAGGACAAAAGGGAAGGCUGAUGCACCAGCCCCCCCGGGGAACCAGAAAAAGGGCAUGAUUCAUGCCAGGGCUUGGAGUCAAGGGAGAAGGUUGGAUGAAGAAGGCAGUUUGAAGACUUUCCCCCUUAAAAAAAAAAAGAACAGUCCCUCACCCUCCCUGCCCCCAUUUAGGUCGAGCUCCCCAAAGCAGCGGCUGCCCCCAGCGUGAAGUGGAAGGAAUGCACGGGAGUGUAGAACCCAGAACUCAGGGGAGGGGACAUAUCAUUUGCCGCCAACACAUCAGUCGAGUCACCUCUUCUUCCCUCCAGCUUAACGCGCUGAAGAGCCCUGACCCUGCCACGGUCCCUGUGCAGAAGACACGCGAGGUGUCAUCACCGCCUUUGUGACGGAGACCCUGAGCUUCCCUUGGCAUUGCCUUUGGACUCGUGCAGGGGAUCUCACUGGGGAAGGCACCUGUGGGAAAGCCACCUUCCUCUGAGGGCUUGUCCUGGCCACAGGAAGGUUGGCAACCCACAUAGGCCUGGGCAUGGUGGCCACAAGAAAUGGCUUGGUGUAGGGAGGACAUACGGCUAUAUUCCAGAAAGAAACUCUGCCUCCAUUUCCAGAGACCAAGACCUCUCUUAGACUCUCCUUCAGGGAUGGAAGUCUGACCAUUUCUCAUAAAACCGCGGACACGGCACAAAUGCUGGAAACCAGCCUCAAUCCCAGCUUCCACGAUCCGGAAGAACCCAGUUUUACCCAUAUCUAUCCAACUUCUGUAUGCUUUUUUGUCAGGGAAAACGGAGGCUACAGGAAGAUUGAACUAAAAACGCAGAGGUUUUUCUCUGUGACAUUUGGCUCAUAUAUAUUCGGGAUGUAUAUCGUCUCUAUGGGUUUUUUCUGCUUUUCCCAAGGAGCAGGGAGUUUUGGUAACAUUCAUUUGCAGUGGGGAGAGGCAAGAGGAGGAGGGAACAUGGGGUAUAGGAGAGCUGGUUAGAAGAGAUCAUCUGGUUAUUUAUUUAUGGUUUAUUUAGGCAAAGGGGCCUUGAAAAAAAAAGGCUUUGAUAAGAGUGGCCAAAAGUCUUCAAAGAUUAACUGGCUCUUUAAAAGGGCAUUAGUUUUCUUUCCUACAGGUGUUCACAGAGCUCGGGACUGGGUGUCCACUAGAAUUCUUUGCUGGUCUGUAGAUUUCCUUAAGGCACACUGCUGACAUCAUGGAGCCCUCUCUCCCUCUCCCUCUCCCUCUCUCCUUCUCCCCCUCCCUCCUCCCUCCUCGUCCCUCCUCCCUCUGCUCAAUCUCUCCCAAUCUCUUUCCUCCUCUCUUCAGUUCCUUCAGGUAAAUCCUACUCAAACUUGUACCAACUUGUUUUUGACUGACAGCGAACAGCGAGAGACUUUUCUUCACUUUGAGAGAACCUAAACACCUAUCUUUCCCAAGGCAACCUGCAUCGACAGAUCAUUCCUUUGCCUGGUCAUAACUUCCCAUCUAGGCAGGAGUCCGUGCAUCCGUCUCUGCAGGCAGAAGCAGAAUCCCAUGGUAGCCAGGUGAGUGAAGGGGAGCGAGGACGUCCCACCUGCCUUGAAGAAGACGCCUUCUGACCCGCGGAGGGAGUGACCAGUUUGCGGAUUUCUGCGUCUAGAGGUCCUAGUUCCCAGAGUGUCGAAAUGCUUCCCCCAGGGGAUAUGGUAAGCCUCACUGAAACUCAAGCUAUGGCUGCCAUCCAGUAACUUCCUUAUGCCAAGGGGCCAGCAGGUGAAGAAAGGGGGUGCCACACUGUCAGUGCCUACAGAACCUUGAAACACAGAAGCUUCCUGUCCUUGGCUUCCUGACCAGGUGCUCCUGGCUGGCCCUAUCCCCAGCAGUUCCCAGCAGACCUGGUUCCUGGCAGUUAUGCCUGUGUUUUGCUUCCAGGUGUAUCUUUGCCCAGAGUUGCAGAUUCCCUACCAUAAGUCUCUGUUCUUUUUCCCCAAGGACCCUCAUCGGUUUUCAUAAAGGAGGGUUUCCCUUGCCCACUCCUGGUGCUUUAAGUCACAGCCAGCAUCUUUGCUAGUGGGCCACCAGCCCACUCUGCUAACUAACCAACAACUCUGUUUUGGCCUCUGAGGAAAAGUGCCUCAUGGGAUCAUCAGAACUUCAGCCAGAGGACACAUGUGGGCAGAGCCUAGACCUAGGGCCAAAGGCAACAAGCCCAAGCCAAGAACAGAGACAUGAAGUCAUCAACAGUCCCUGCUGCUCCAAACACAAGCCCGGUCGAGCCUGAGGGGUCCCUGGGGUGUCCAAGAGUCCCCAUUCCCUAGAGUCAAGAGUCAGUAGGCUCAAAUGGACACACCUGAUGUUGAGUCUUCACCGUCGCGUCUUGACCCUUGAGGUCGUACAAGUAGUGAAGCAUGAGCAGUCUCACACUCAGAUCUCUUAUGGUCUCCACCAAAACGUCUGAAACCUGAUAGGUUUCCAGAAAAGCGCAUACCAUUGUCUGUGGUGGUCACAUCUUCAGUUUACUGCCAUCCAUGGAACAAUGCAUUAGCUCAGUGAGGGCACGGACAUCCGUCUCAACACUGUUUUAUCCCUAAUGCCUAGAUCAUUCCUGGCACCAGUAAGUGCUGAACAAAUAUUGACAGAAUGAACAAUCACUAUGAUUUGAAAGGGCAUUUAUCAAGUGUUUUACUCCAACAAACACAGGAAACCAUUGAUUAUUACGCCUUUUGCUUAAACUUUUCGGAGUUUGGAAAGAUUUCUUGCCAAGGCUUGAUCACUACCCCCAACAAGAUAUGGUGAUCACCUCACCGAACGCACCUAUACCACCUUUGGUCCUGAGCACUCAGGCUCUCCAACGCGUCUUACAGAAGACCCUCUUCUCAUAAGAUCCAGUGAAUUCAAAUGCAACAGCUUUACACAGUGGAAGAGGCCGCAGUUGACUUGGGUGAGAAAUGCCCUUUCCCACCUGUGAAAAUGGCCCCACAGCGUAUGUAAGCCCUGGUGCGCACUAUUCCUGCCACAAGUGAGCCCGGAACAGUUAUUUCUGCUGACACUGCCAUCACUCUCUCUCCCCAGGACACUUCCUCUGUUAUCAUGUAGAGCAAAGCUAGGAAAAAGUUCCCCGGUGCGACGUGGCAAAAACCUGGACUCUUCUGAACACCAAAAGAGAGCAAAUUCUCGCAAGUUUAAAGCCUCAGUAAUCUAAUUGGACAAUAAAAGGAAUCUAGAAAUUUGCACAAAAAGUGAAUUAUCACACAAAAGGAUAGUCUCCCUGGGACUGACCUCACUCUCCCUAAAAAGUGGAAGUGAAAAGCUCUGAGUAUUGAGAGACCCAUUGUUUUCCUCCUGGUUCUGCCAUGACUUGGCACCAUGGUCUUGAGCAUGGUACCGACCUUUGUAUGCCCUCUCAGGUUCGGGAAGGGAUUGAUAUCUGCUGUGCCUGCCUUGAUAUGAGAAAUCGAGCACAUGGGGAAGCCCUCUGAGAAGGGCAGAGGGCCAAACAGAAGCAAGGUCCAUGGGGCAUGAGUCCUCUCACAGCUGGGCCUUUUGCAAGGAUAUGCAUUAUGUAAUGAUUCAGCUUUGUAGAAAUUAUCCCCAUAAGAACACGACUUAUGGGUUGGAAUAUAAAGCCUCUAAUGGAAAAGGACAGGUAAGUUCUUUUUGCUUUUGUUCUUUCUUUGGUUUUAAUUCCUUAGGCCCAGCAAUCACUCUAGUGUCAGGUAUCAUAGAUCAAAAAUCCCACACACUCAGACACACAACCACCCCAGGAUCAUAGGCACAUAUCACUAGAGACUCAUUCAGGAAAAUUCCUUCCAGACUGAUGAGUGACUGAAUGGCAGGGAAAGAAUAAGAGAACGGGCAGAACCAUAAAUCAGGCAGAGAAAGCAGGAAGUAGGGACUAGCUAAGUAGACAUGAUGAUGCCCAGCCCAGAUUCCCCUUCAAGGGAGGAUAUAUUGUCCCAGCUGCCAGGGCGACUACCAGCCCUCCUUGCACGGUUUCAGUCACAGGGGGAUGGCCCACAACCAAUGAUGGAUGGAGGAGGGAGUAUAAAAGCCCAGCAUUUGGCCAUUUUAGUUCCCAAGCUCCCCAUAGGGUCCUGCACCACAAUUCAGCUUCUCCUCCAGCCCAAUCAUGCUUUUCUUCCCUUCCCUUCCUCUGGUGUCCAUCCCAAGGUCACACUUUUAUAAACAGCUUCUACCCUAAACUCCAUCUCAGAGUGUGCCCAGGUAACCCAACUUGUGACAACUAGGAAAUAAAACAGAUGGACUUCUCCAAGACAAAGAGGAGAAUGAGAAGGACAAGGGACAGACCUUCUUCCUUUGUACUGUUGUCACCUGUCCUCAUCUAGGUCAUGGCUGCAGCCAGACGCUGGAGCACAGCUGGGCUCCUAGGGCGUCUGUCUCACCCUAGCUCUGUCACUCACUAGCUGUAUGAUCCUGGACAGAACAACCUCUUGGGGCCUCUGUUUACCCAUUGGCAAGUGGGGAGACUCAUGACCCCACCUCGAUUGAGUCUUCGUCAGAGUCUAGUAGGGUAAUGAUGGGAAUGAGCACAGGGAACCAUGACACUCCACCUAUUAGUGACCAUUUCUCUCCCCUCCAACCAAAGCUUGAAAUGCCAGUAGGAGCUUGAAAACAAUAGCCUAAAAGGAAGAGUUUCUCCUCUGCCCUUCAAUUCUCAGGCUGGCAAGGUGAUUGCAGGGAACAGUUGGAGGCUGGAAGUGAUGGGAGGCAGGGGGCAUUGUCGUCUCAUUAAAUGCUCAUGCAAUAGGGUAAUCUUGAGUCCCUCCUACCUGCCAGGUGUCAGGCCAGUCCCUCAUACUCCUCACAUGGGGGUCAUGGGCAUUAUUAAGAAUCUUACACACAAAUAAAAACCUUCUGCAUGGUAAUGAGCCAAGUAAGAGAAGUCACAGAGGGCUUCCCUGAAGAAGUGACACUUGAACUAAGAAAUAAAUGAUGGGCAGGAGUUAUGUUGACAAAAAAAGGAGGGAAGGUGAUUCCCAAUCUGAGAAAAUGCAAGUGCAAAGGAAUCCCCAUGGUAAAGAGAGCAAUGAGCACAAGGUCUGGAAGCAUGAGGGUGAAGCCUGGAGUAGUGGGGGAGUGAGUUGUGGGGCGGGACUGGAGAGAAAGGUGAGAACCACGUGGAGCAAUCCCUGGUAGGUGAGUUAAAGACUUUCAUCUGUAUCUUAAGUGCAAGGAGGAGCCAAGCAUGGCUUUAUGUGGAGCAUUCGAGUGAGUAUUCUGGGUACACAGGGAAGGACAGAUGAGAGGAGGCCAGAGUGAUUGAUUUAGUUUGAGUCUGGCACACUCAUUUUAAGUGUUUAAAUGAGGCACUUGAUAAAGCAGGUACUAUUAUGAUCCUUAUUUUAACUAUAAAGAAAUUAAAACAGAGAGAAUAAAUAGCCAGUAUUCCAACCAGGCUAUCUGGCUGCAAAGUCACACGCUUAACAACUACACAACACUAUGCUAUGGGUAGACCAGAUGGACGGCUAUUUCAGUAAUCUAAACUGGGUGGAGCAAUGGAGCUGGGGGGAGUAGAUAUAUUCUGAAGAUAUGUAGGACAUUAAAAGAAAAAACGGAGAGAGCGGAUUAAGAGUAUACUUGUGAUGAGCCCUGAGCAAUGUACAGAAUUGUCGAAUCACUAUAUUGCACACCUGAAAUGAAUAUAACACUGUAUGUUAAUUAUACUUCAAUAUAAACUUUAAAAAAGAGAAAAAAAGGAAGCGAUCAGAAUUCAGUCACAGAUGGGUCAGAGAGAGGUGAAGGAGAUUGUCUCAGGGAUAGGGCCAGGGUGGAACUGGGAGGUGCCACUCACUGAGACGUGAAGCAUGGGUAGAGAACCAGGGUUGUGGUGUUUGAGGGCAGGGGAAGGAGGCAAGGGACAGCCAGAGUCCAUUUGGACCUGCAGAGCACUGAGGUGCCUUAGGGAUGGAGCUGGUAGU